UUUGAUCCUGGCUCAAAUGAACGCUGGCGGCGUGCCUAACACAUGCAAGUCGAACGCGAAAGCCCUGCUUGCAGGGUGAGUAGAGUGGCGAACGGGUGAGUAACGCGUGGGUAACCUACCCCCCAGUUGGGGAUAAUCCCGCGAAAGCGGGUCUAAUACCGGAUGACAUCGCCUCUCCUCGGAGGGGUGAUCAAAGAUGGCCUCUGGUACAAGCUAUCGCUGGGGGAGGGGCUCGCGUCCUAUUAGCUUGUUGGUGGGGUAACGGCCCACCAAGGCGACGAUGGGUAGCCGGCCUGAGAGGGUGUCCGGCCACACUGGAACUGAGACACGGUCCAGACUCCUACGGGAGGCAGCAGUGGGGAAUUUUUCGCAAUGGGCGAAAGCCUGACGAAGCGACGCCGCGUGGACGAUGAAGGCCUUCGGGUCGUAAAGUCCUGUCGGGUGGGAAGAAAAGUAUGAGUUCGAAUAAAGCUCAUGCUUGACGGUACCACCCAAGGAAGCCCCGGCCAACUCCGUGCCAGCAGCCGCGGUAAUACGGGGGGGGCAAGCGUUAUUCGGAAUCACUGGGCGUAAAGGGCGUCUAGGCGGUCGGGUAAGUCGUGGGUGAAAGCCCCCGGCUCAACCGGGGAAGUGCCUGCGAAACUAUCCGACUUGAGGUCGGGAGAGGAAAGUGGAAUUCCCAGUGUAGCGGUGAAAUGCGCAGAUAUUGGGAGGAACACCAGUGGCGAAGGCGGCUUUCUGGACCGACCCUGACGCUGAAGCGCGAAAGCUAGGGGAGCGAACGGGAUUAGAUACCCCGGUAGUCCUAGCCGUAAACGAUGGGCACUUGGUGUAGCAGGAUUUAAAACCUGCUGUGCCGAAGCUAACGCAUUAAGUGCCCCGCCUGGGGAGUACGGCCGCAAGGCUGAAACUCAAAGGAAUUGACGGGGGCCCGCACAAGCGGUGGAGCAUGUGGUUUAAUUCGAUGCAACGCGAAGAACCUUACCGGGGCUUGAAGUGUGGUUGACAGGAUGAGAAAUUAUCCCUUCUCUUCGGAGACAACUGCAUAGGUGCUGCAUGGCUGUCGUCAGC
rnacentral:rRNA from 1 species